GUCCAACUAAAAAUAAAGUGGGAUCGGAGCUGGCCGUCCCGCGGAGCAGCCCGAGAGGCUGCAAUCAGAGCAUUGUGAUUAGUGGUCAGAGCUGCUGUCAAAGGAGCGUGACCAGGUCAUCUUCCCCAGGACUACGGCAGCUCCAGUGAAGACAAAACGUAGGGCUUCUGUGACCUUUGCUAUUUCUAUUGUUAGGCUUUUAGUUUUAAUCCAAAAAUAUGCAGGAUUUACAGUUAUUGUUGUCAGAAACUUCCAGAAGAAUCAACAAAGUGAAGUGGAAAGAAGCACAUCAGGGAGGUCCGGCCUCGGGGUUUGGCCCCUGGUCUUCCAUCUGCUUGGAAUCUGCUUUGGACACGUAUCCGCCCGGCUUGUUGGAACCCCAGAGGAGUGGGAACCAGACUUCUCCCACCCCAGGAAGACAGUGCUGGUUCAAAAUCCUUCAUUGGCCAAAAGGACAGUUUUACGCACAAGAAAAUGCAGGAGAACAGAAACAGGAAUCAUUGGCACGAACCCAAAUGAGAAAAGACUGGAAUAAAGGCAAACUCUUCAAGAUGCCUGAAACCAAGAUGCACCAAAGUCAGGAGCCAAGACUUCCCGGGGUUUUAUACACAGCUCCAGCUCUAGGCAAGUUUCAGGCCUCAAUGAUGCAGGUGACGUACAAGAAGAAGCAGGCUGUCUCCACUAAGCAUCUGGGGCCCAGCUGCUGCCCUUUGCCACCACGGGGAGGCAGCAGACCAACACCCACAUGUGGAACACACUUGGCACCCUACAGUGACCUCGUGGGUGUAAUGGUCAGUGCUUCACUGCCUCUUCCAAAUCGCACGCAAAUUUCUCCUGUGGCUAACUCUAACCCAGAACCAGACGGUGAAGGGAAUUCUGGGAAAUCAGCUCCACCUUAGCUAAACAAAAAGCCGCUGUACCAGGUUUCAUCCUGUCAAUGUAUUUGUAGAUGCCUUUGAUUUUUCUUUAUAACACUAAAUACAGAAUAAUUCGAAUAUACAAGAGAAUAUAAAUACAGAGUCUUUCCAUGGUUUCCUUUAUGAAAUUACUAACUUUCUGUCAUCUUGAGUACCCAGUCAUCUUGGAUCAUUUCUUGCCAUGUGCUUAUUGGGAUGAAUUAAAACUACUGGCCUAUUUGUAUUUCACUUAUAUAUAUGAAAUGUUGAGUCUAUUCCUUAUACUUGCAGCAAAAACAGAUCCUCUGUGGUAUGUAUUUCAUGUAAAUGAGGAUUAGACAAACUUCAGGAUCCAUUUGGCAUUAGUAUCUGUGUAACAAUAGGCUUAUGUAUUUAUGGAGCUAGGUAGGUAUGUCUACAUGCUUGUUCUAACUCUCUCUCUAUAUAUAUGACCAGAUAGUGCUAUAGAGACUUAAGAACAGUCUUGAUGACUAUACAGACAGAUAUCUAAAAACCGAGAGCUGAGAAAUUGGUGUUGUAACUUCUGAGUAAUUAUUUCAACUACUGGACACCUGUCACUAAUCCAAAAGCCAAAGGAAUUGGCAGUUUUGUAUAAGACGUUCCUUCACUUUGGCUUCUUAAGAUGACAGAGGUAGUUGUAGAUAGGAAAUGUAGAAACAGCAAAAAAAAAAAAAAAAAAAAAAGAACUCUCACCACGAAUGAGUGAUAAGAAUUUGUUGAGCUCUCAGACUCUCCGCUUCUGCUUCCCUCAGCACCUCUUAGAUCCUUUAGACUUGUAGCUUGUUUUCCUUUUCUGAGCCAGCGGAGAUUGUAAAUCAACCUUCCAGUCUUCAUCGCCAACCCAGGGGAAAUAGGUGAGACAAGUGGUUUCCAAAUAUUUGAUAAAACAGAGAGGGUGUUUGGGGUAGAAAGAAUUCUGGUUUUCGGUUCAAUCCAUUUACCUACUUAUGUCCUCUUUAGCAUUAUUUAACUUGUUAGAGUUUAUGUUUCCUCUUCUGCAAAAUGGCUGUGAUCUUGUCUGCUUCCUAAGAAGCUCCAGGGUUGACGGAGGGGACUCGGAUGUCCACCUCCCACCUUCCUUCGCCAAUACUUCUUCACUGCCGAGACCCCAUUCGUCUCACGUGACUGAUACCUACUAAGCGGGCUACAACGAGUAGGCUCAUAUGAUUUUUAAAUGCUGGAGAAUUAGGUUUCAGUAGGCAAGUGGAACUUUUAAAAGAAUUUAUUCCUUAGUCUGACAACCACUGUUUAUUUUGCUUAACUGAAGCAACUGAUUUUUCCUUUAUCAGGAUAAAAUCAUGAAAGAUUUUGAAAAAGGCAAGAAAGAUUACUGGUGUCCUGUCUAGCAUACCCUUCUGGGUUAUCUUUGUCUCUUAUUGUCUUUGAGCUAUUUUACAACUCUGUCAGCUGUAGAUAACGG
ensembl:lncRNA